GCACAGCGAGCAUCUGAUUGGUCCAAACCAGACUCACUUCUAUUGGAGAGCAGCUGCUGUAUUGUGAUUGGUGGAAGCCAUGCUCCGGUUUCCUCCAACAGUCCUGCGCUCAGAUUAACUGGAGCUACUAGAAACUGCUGUCUGAUGUUCUGACAUUUUGGGGUCUGAUGUUCUCCUCUUUGGGGUUAUGGAACACAUUCAGAAGGUGGACUGGCUGAUGUUAAAUGCCUCUAGGUGUGAGUGAAUGAGUGACAGUAGUGAAUCAGACCCACCGUGACCCUGACCAGGAUAAAUCG